rnacentral:tRNA from 1 species
GGAGAGGUGCUGGAGUGGUCGAACAGGCAUGAUUGGAAAUCAUGUGUACCUUUACGGGUACCGAGGGUUCGAAUCCCUCCCUCUCCGCCA